rnacentral:lncRNA from 1 species
UGGCACAGCACCAACCCAGGGCCAGCAGCAGGCACCCUGACCACAGGGGAUAUUCAGUGACACCUCUGGAUUUCUAUUCCUAACCCAACAAUACAGACCCUUUGUGCCACACUGCAUUACAGAGAAUAUCCUAACCCAGUGGCACACACACCCACUUCUGACACCGUGAUCCCCACCCUGGGGACAGGAGCAGGUCGCUGCUUAAAAGCAAAGUCUUCAGGACAGAACCGGGAGCGGAUCCAUCUCCCAGCUGUGCUCCCCUCCAACUCCUCUCCCUGAGCUGAGCAGCCUACAGCCUACCAGAUGAGCCUACAUCAGCAGCACAGGGAAGAAUAGGGACGCUGCGGGUCACCGCCGCGACACACAGUUCAUCCGUGACAAAUGACAUGGAGAAGGCGUUCGAUGCCUUCCCUGCCUCAGGCUUUCCCAGGGGGGCUGGGGGACCCCCAGGGCCCCACGUCGCAGGAGGAGGGCCAGCUCAGGGAGCACUGAUGGGUGGCAGGAAGGAAAUAUCCCCCUCAGCAUCUGCUCGGAGGGCGGCUCCAGGCAGGGCCCUGCACCUCCGGGGAGCCGUCUCCAAGCAUGCAGGGCUUUUGAAAAGGCUGCCUGAAAGCUGCUGCUGGGAAUAAUUGAGGCAUUUCAUUGACAUAUAACAAUGCAAUUUUUAGCAUACUUCUUGAACUCAAACGCUUCUUCCUAAUGAGCAAAAUAUUGCCGUGAGAGUCUCUGUUCUCUCUGUAAUUUCCACACUGGACCACUAUAAUCGGUUUGGGAAAUUGCCUGAGGAUUGAGCUCAUAUGACCACACCUGAGAGCAGCCUCUGGACCCUCCAGGAGCAGCUGGACUGUGCCAGAACCCAUAGAGGCACAGCCUGCCGGCAGCGCAGGGGUUCAGGUGAACAUCACGGGGCUGCCGUCCCUUCCCCAGCACAAGCUGUGUGAGAACAGAGCUGCAUGGAAGAGCAUUCGGGACACAGAGCUGUGGGGCUCCACUCAGCCCUCAGCACAGCAGAAGGGAAUGCUUUCCAGUUC